rnacentral:rRNA from 1 species
ACGAACGCUGGCGGCGUGCCUAACACAUGCAAGUCGAACGAGGUCCAUGCAGUGGCAACACUGCGGAAGACCUAGUGGCGAACGGGUGAGUAACACGUGAGGAACUUGCCCCGGAGACCGGGAUAACCCUCCGAAAGGAGAGCUAAUACCGGAUGUCCUCCCCGAGUCGCAUGGCUUGGUGAGGAAAUGGAUUCCGCUCCGGGAGAGCCUCGCGGCCUAUCAGCUAGUUGGUGGGGUAACGGCCCACCAAGGCGUCGACGGGUAGCUGGUCUGAGAGGACGAUCAGCCACACUGGGACUGAGACACGGCCCAGACUCCUACGGGAGGCAGCAGUGGGGAAUCUUGCGCAAUGGGCGAAAGCCUGACGCAGCAACGCCGCGUGCGGGAUGACGGCCCUCGGGUUGUAAACCGCUUUCAGUGGGGACGAACCAAGACGGUACCCACAGAAGAAGCCCCGGCCAACUACGU